rnacentral:rRNA from 1 species
AUUGAACGCUGGCGGCAGGCCUAACACAUGCAAGUCGAACGAGUGGCGGACGGGUGAGUAAUGUCUGGGAAAAUGCCUGAUGGAGGGGGAUAACUACUGGAAACGGUAGCUAAUACCACAUACCAUCAGAUGUGCCCAGAUGGGAUUAGCUUGUUGGGGGGGUAACGGCUCACAAAGGCGACGAUCCCUAGCUGGUCUGAGAGGAUGACCAGCCACACUGGACCGGGGACCCGGUCCAGACUCCUACGGGAGGCCGCAGUGGGGAAGAUUGCACAAUGGGCUCAAGCCUGAUGCCGCCCUGCCGCGUGUAUGAAGAGGGCCUUCGGGUUGUAAAGUACGUUCAGCGGGGAGGCGUUACCCGCAGAAGAAGCACCGGCUAACUCCGUGCCAGCAGCCGCGGUAAUUC